rnacentral:lncRNA from 1 species
GUUGAAUGACUUAAUGAGAGGUACUCUUCCCACGAAAGAAACAAGAAUGACCAUUUCAAGUUAAUUUCAUCCUGAAGGGACGUGAUAAAGGAUGAUUGAUUCUUUCAGUUUCAUGCUUUUUGGUACCAUUUCAAAAUUUAAUACAUACUGAAUGAAAAUUGAUUAUAGCACAUUUUGAUAGUUCAAC